AGAGUUUGAUCAUGGCUCAGAGCGAACGCUGGCGGCAGGCUUAACACAUGCAAGUCGAGCGGGCGUAGCAAUACGUCAGCGGCAGACGGGUGAGUAACGCGUGGGAACGUACCUUUUGGUUCGGAACAACACAGGGAAACUUGUGCUAAUACCGGAUAAGCCCUUACGGGGAAAGAUUUAUCGCCGAAAGAUCGGCCCGCGUCUGAUUAGCUAGUUGGUGAGGUAACGGCUCACCAAGGCGACGAUCAGUAGCUGGUCUGAGAGGAUGAUCAGCCACAUUGGGACUGAGACACGGCCCAAACUCCUACGGGAGGCAGCAGUGGGGAAUAUUGGACAAUGGGCGCAAGCCUGAUCCAGCCAUGCCGCGUGAGUGAUGAAGGCCCUAGGGUUGUAAAGCUCUUUUGUGCGGGAAGAUAAUGACGGUACCGCAAGAAUAAGCCCCGGCUAACUUCGUGCCAGCAGCCGCGGUAAUACGAAGGGGGCUAGCGUUGCUCGGAAUCACUGGGCGUAAAGGGUGCGUAGGCGGGUCUUUAAGUCAGGGGUGAAAUCCUGGAGCUCAACUCCAGAACUGCCUUUGAUACUGAAGAUCUUGAGUUCGGGAGAAGUGAGUGGAACUGCGAGUGUAGAGGUGAAAUUCGUAGAUAUUCGCAAGAACACCAGUGGCGAAGGCGGCUCACUGGCCCGAUACUGACGCUGAGGCACGAAAGCGUGGGGAGCAAACAGGAUUAGAUACCCUAGUAGUCC
rnacentral:rRNA from 1 species